rnacentral:rRNA from 1 species
UGCAAGUCGAACGAUGAAGCCCUUCGGGGUGGAUUAGUGGCGAACGGGUGAGUAACACGUGGGCAAUCUGCCCUUCACUCUGGGACAAGCCCUGGAAACGGGGUCUAAUACCGGAUACCACUCCUGCCUGCAUGGGCGGGGGUUGAAAGCUCCGGCGGUGAAGGAUGAGCCCGCGGCCUAUCAGCUUGUUGGUGGGGUAAUGGCCCACCAAGGCGACGACGGGUAGCCGGCCUGAGAGGGCGACCGGCCACACUGGGACUGAGACACGGCCCAGACUCCUACGGGAGGCAGCAGUGGGGAAUAUUGCACAAUGGGCGAAAGCCUGAUGCAGCGACGCCACGUGAGGGAUGACGGCCUUCGGGUUGUAAACCUCUUUCAGCAGGGAAGAAGCGAAAGUGACGGUACCUGCAGAAGAAGCGCCGGCU